AGAGUUGUUGGAAGGAAGGUGGAGCACAAGUGCAUGGCCUGGAGAAGCUGCAAGUAGUGAUUUCAUAGCUGGGGGAGAAAGUUGUGUAGAGGUAUAUCUGCCCAAUAUAGGCGUGCAGCUUAUAAGUAUACAACUGAGUUGCGUUUUCUUUGCAUGGGCUUAUUGGAAUUAGAGAUUCACAGCAACAAACUUGUGUUUUCCUUUAAUGGGCUUAUUGUGGUUGGAGAUUUACCACAACAAAAUGGAUGGCUCCCCAACCUAUUGAUUAGAGCUCAACUAACCUGAGAUUAAAAAAAAAAAAUCACUGUCAAUCCUCUCAUUCCUAAUACAAGGCUAGGGUAUCGAUCUAAGCUGCAGCCGUGUGUGGACUAAAAGCUCACUGGGUCUGAAGGGCCUACAGAGAACUGCAGAGAGGCUAACCACAGGUAGACAGCUUCAACCAGGGGCAGCACCCCAGCCUGGAGCUGAACUUGAGCAGACACAGUGAACUGACCGGGCAUCUACACCUGAGAGAGCCUUUCCGUGUUUGCUUCCCUGAAUCUCCCCUGUCUACUGUGACCAAGACAGCCAGUCUCUGAAUCGAACAGCAGAGUGAGCCAAAAGUACAAAAGGCUCCAGAUCAGGUAAUAAGCAUCAUACAUUGGAACUUAAAGAUGAGAAACACAAUAAAUAUCUUUUGGUCUUUAAGGGAUGAUAUUCUGAAUGGUUUGACUGGCAUGGAGUUAAAGGAGAUAGACAUCUUGUCAUUUACUGGUACUGCAAUAUUUAUUCUCUUGAUCUACUAUAUCUUCUCAAAAGACAGGGCCCUAGAUAAAGAAAAUUGCUUGCCUUAGAAAAGAGAUUACAGGUAACACUAAAACUAAAGGUUAAGGAUUUUAUAGGUCAAGAUAAGCAAGAGAAAGAGGAAAAUAUAGGUUAGAGACAGUACCUGGAAAAGACGCUAGAAAAAAGGAUUCAAUGAUUCACAGAUCAGACUGAACAAACAGCAAGGAGAUAGAGAUAAAAUUUGGAAGCAAAGUCUAGAGGAUAAUUUACUAAAGCUUGAAAAUCAAAAUGAGGCAGGUGCUGCACUAUCAGAACUACAACAUAAAGAGAAGCUAAGGAUCUGGAAGCAGGGCUUAGAACAGAAGAUACAGGAAAUUAUAGAGCAACAUGAAAAACAGAAAGAAAAAUUUAAGACUAGGCGAUGUGGCCUAGAGGAAACACUAGAGCUGAAGACACAGGAAAUUAUAGAUCAGAACAAAAGACAGAAAGGU
rnacentral:lncRNA from 1 species